rnacentral:rRNA from 1 species
GACGAACGCUGGCGGCGUGCUUAACACAUGCAAGUCGAACGAUGAAGUUCCUUCGGGAAUGGAUUAGUGGCGAGCGGGUGAGAAACACGUGAGAAACCUGCCUUUCAUUUUGGGAUAACUCCGGGAAACCGGAGCUAACACCGAAUACUCCGUCUCGGCGGCAUCGCUGAGCCGGGAAAAAAUUAUGAUGAAAGAUGGUCUCGCGGCCUAUCAGCUAGUUGGUGAGGUAAUGGCUCACCAAGGCGACGACGGGUAGCCGGCCUGAGAGGGCGACCGGCCACACUGGGACUGAGACACGGCCCAGACUCCUACGGGAGGCAGCAGUGGGGAAUAUUGGGCAAUGGGCGCAAGCCUGACCCAGCGACGCCGCGUGAGGGAUGAAGGCCUUCGGGUUGUAAACCUCUUUCAGUAGGGAAGAAGCGAAAGUGACGGUACCUAAAGAAGAAGCACCGGCUAACUAUGUGCUAGCCGCCGCCGUAA